GUUGUUAUACUUUAAUUAAAAAGGCUUGAUUUGCAUUCAAGUAAUAGAGCUUUUUGCUUUUAACGACA
rnacentral:tRNA from 1 species